GAAAACAGAAAAAGAAAGAAACGAAAGGGAGGUUUUCGGCUGGAAAAAGAAGAGAGUUGGAGAGAAAGAGGAAAACUGAGAAAGGAAGGAGGGGAGAUUGAGGGAGGUGACUGAAACUGAAAAAUCUGGAACCAAGAGAGGAGUUGGGGAAGAGAGCUUUGGGCAGUGGAAGAAAAGCAAGAAGGAAAGGAAGAAAGAAAAGCUACGGGGAAGGAAGAAAAAAAACAUAGAAGAAAAGAGGGUUGGAAGGGAGAGGGGCUGCGGGAAAAGGAAGGAUAAAAAAAAAAAAGGAAAAACUGAACAAGAGAAGGAGGGAGCUUCGUGGGGGCUAGGUUGGGAGGAAAAGCAAGAAAACAGAAAGAAAAGGGCAAAGGAGGGUUUCGGCUGAGGAAGAAAGAAAAAGGGUUUCGGGAGAAAGAAAAGAAAAAAGAAGGCAGAGCUGCAGGCAACAAAGAGAAAGAGAGGGAAGAGUGAUUGAGAAAGGGAAGAGAGAUUGCGAGAAGGGAUGGCUAAAGAACAAAGGAAGAAAGGGGGAAAAUCUGGGAGAGAGCUUCGGGUAGAGGAGUAAACAGGUGGGAAAGGGAGGAAGACUUUCAGGAAAGAAAAGGAAAAGAAGAAAGAAAAUAGGGUUUUUGGAGCUGAGAAAGAAAGAAGGAAGAAUCUGGAAAGGGUCAGAAAGGAAAGUCAGGAAAGAAAAUGAGAGAAAAAGGAGAGAGAAAAUUGCAGAAAAGUUUUCCAGAAACUGAGCCAGGGUUGGCGAAGAGGCCUUUUUCUUGGCCAAAUUCUGAUCUUGUUCUUGCUCCUUUAGGAUUUAUUUCUAUUUCUACAUUUUAUAAGUUGGUAAAGCUACAAAUUUUGUUCAGAAAACAUCUCAAAAUAAUGUCUCCAACACCUUCAAAUUUUGGCUUCAAGUUUGCUCGUUGUCAGCCCUUAAACGUUCUUCAUCAGAAAUUUGCAGCUUCAAAUUCGUCAUUCGGACGCAAUCUUUUCAACCACUCCUUGUUCAGUAGACUCCACAAGACAUCAAAGGUAAUCCCUUUUGCCUUCUACUUCUCAUACAAGCCCAGAUCUUCCCUAAAUAGGCCAAAGAUCUUGCUACAUCUUGUUCAUUAUCCUACUUUGCUGUUUUCUUCCUAGAACAGCCCACUAGUUGGGUUUUGCCGCCUGAUUCGUUACCUGAUGUUGUAUUUGGGAAAUAACAUUUGAUGUUUGAUAUUUGGUGAUAUGGUUGCUUUGGUUCAAAGUGGGUUUGGUUGAGAUGUUAGUGGUACAUUUGGGAUUGCGUCUGAGAACUCAGAAUUGCAGAUAAACAAAUUAAAAGCCGUUCUUUUGGUAUCCCUUGUGCAUGGUCUGGGUAGGAAAAUCGUUCGGGGAUGCAUAGUAUAUGGUUGGGUUUUGAUGCUAAGAUGCAUAAAGUAUUGUUUUGAUUCGAAAGAUUGCUGUUUGUUUGGAUUUUGUUAGCCGCAUAUGACCUGAAUGUUAUAGUUACGAAGUUGCAGACGAAUGAAGAAGAAAGUUUCUGCGAAGCAUGCAUGAAAUAUUUCCAAAUAUUGCACUUUAACCCCUAGUUUUCUAAGUAAUCCUGAUAUGGCCCACAAAAUUGGAAAAAUCAAUCAAUCUUGUUCUUUUAAAAUGUUAUUUUUCUUUGACAUGCUUUAAUAUGAUUUUUGGACAGAUUAUAUGUGAGUUUUAGGAGGAAAUUUGAAGUCUAAUAAUUUUUAUAGAUUUAUAAUUUUGAUUUGGGUUUUAGCAAAAGAUUUAGGUAAUUCUUUUUGUUAUUUAGUUUUAGCAAGUGGAACAAGUGAGUUUUGAUUUAUUUUUAUGAAUUUUAGCAUUUAGUUUUGAUAGACUUCAUCUUAAGCCCUUAAUUUUAUUUUAUUUUAAUUUAGACCCAUAAUAUUUAUAAUAAUACUGAUUUGACCCCUCAAACUUCUUUAAUUCUUUCAAUUGGGUCCUUAUUUAUUUUAAUUUGUUGAAUAUGGGUUGUUUACUUUUAUUUGAAUGCUUUGAUUGAUUCAAUUUCGUGUUUAUUUCCAUUUCUUGUGAUAUUUGUUAAUUAAAGUGAUGUUUUGACCUUUUUCUUUAUUUUGGAGGGUAAAUAAAAAAAUUUUCAUUUCAUUGGACCACCGAUUCAAGAGAGGUACACUCUACUCCUUUAUUUUUUAUUUUACUUGAUCCUAUGUACUCCUAUGUGACUUUAU
rnacentral:lncRNA from 1 species